rnacentral:rRNA from 1 species
UACGUAGGUGGCAAGCGUUUGUCCGGAAUUAUUGGGCGUAAAGCGCGCGCAGGUGGUUCUUUAAGUCUGAUGUGAAAGCCCACGGCUCAACCGUGGAGGGUCAUUGGAAACUGGGGAACUUGAGUGCAGAAGAGGAAAGUGGAAUUCCACGUGUAGCGGUGAAAUGCGUAGAGAUGUGGAGGAACACCAGUGGCGAAGGCGACUUUCUGGUCUGUAACUGACACUGAGGCGCGAAAGCGUGGGGAGCGAACAGG